AACCUCCGCAAUGUGAGAAAUCGCGACGGGGGGAUCCCAAGUGCCAUUCUUAACGGGAUGGCUUUUCAUUAGUGUAAAAAGCUUUUGGAAUAAGAGCUGGGCAAGACCGGUGCCAGCCGCCGCGGUAACACCGGCAGCUCUAGUGGUAACAAUUUUUAUUGGGCCCAAAGCGUUCGUAGCCGGUUUGAUAGGUCACUGGUGAAAUCCUGUAGCUUAACUGUGGGAAUUGCUGGUGAUACUGUUGAACUUGAGGUCGGGAGAGGUUAGCGGUACUCCCAGGGUAGAGGUGAAAUUCUGUAAUCCUGGGAGGACCACCUGUGGCGAAGGCGGCUAACUGGAACGAACCUGACGGUGAGGGACGAAAGCUAGGGGCGCGAACCGGAUUAGAUACCCGGGUAGUCCUAACUGUAAACGAUGCGGACUUGGUGUUGGGGUGGCUUUGAGCUGCUUCAGUGCCGAAGGGAAGCUGUUAAGUCCGCCGCCUGGGAAGUACGGUCGCAAGACUGAAACUUAAAGGAAUU
rnacentral:rRNA from 1 species